CACCUCCAUAGGAGGCAAAGUUUGUAAAACUGAAUUGUGGGUGUGGUGAGGGGUGUAUUUAUAGGCAUUUUGAGGUUUGGGAAACUUUGACCCUCCUGGUAGGAUUGUAUAUCCCAUAUGUCACUAGCUCAUGGACUCUUACCAAUUACAUGAAAGAAAUAGGAGUCUCUGGUCUUGUAAUAAAAUCUGACUAAACCCAAGCCUGUAGAGUUCCUUCUUUAGUGGCAGGUCAAGAGCUGGAGUUGCCAAUGAUUCCCUUUUAAAGACCGGAUCCACCACGCUCUCUAUAUUAUCUUUGCAGGCCUGAACAUUCUUAAAGGGUGCCAGAUUUCCGUUGGUGUGCAACAUUAAGAGCAUGGGAAUAGGAGCUUUUGCAUCUUCCAGCCCAGUUUUAUGAUCCAUUGUCCCAUUCAGAUGAUCACUCACAGAGUGGAGCGGUUCAUUCAGAUGAUCAUUCACAGUGGAGUGGUUCACUCUGGAGAGCCAAAGCGCCAUCUUUAUCUUGCAGAUGUGUGUUUCAUGUAGUGAUAGCGCUGAUGCGGACUGUCUGUGUAUUAUACAUUUAUCAGCCAAUCCCAAGAUCCCCAAUAAACUGGAGCCAAUGAUGUGCCGCAAAGUGUUGGAGGUGUGUCAAGCCCGGGACUUUUAAAAAGCAUCAGCGGUGUACUCUUUUCUACUACUCUUGAGAAAGUCAGGACGUUGCCUGACAAAACGUGUAGAGACUCUCCUUUUGGCUCUACCACGUCCCUGGUCACACCGGGUUCUCACGUUGGCGUAUACCCUGAUCAGGCGCAGUUUCCUGUGGAGGUUCCGGAAGUCCCUCAGAUGAGCGCAAGGAUAGGGUGACAGAUUUCAGACCCAUCGUAACCGGUUAAGAACUUUGUGAUGUGGUGAUUGUGCAUGUUAAUGUUUAACAUUUUGUACGUGCGAUUUAUUGCGCUUUUUAUUUGUGUUCAAAUUAAACAAUAUUACUCUUAGA